AGAGUUUGAUCCUGGCUCAGGAUGAACGCUGGCGGCGUGCCUAACACAUGCAAGUCGAACGAAUCAGAUAUUCAACAUUGAGUAUUUAGACGAAGGAAAAAAGUUAGCCAGCGUCAAGGACGAACGAUAGAGAGUCCUUUACGCGUUCAAAAAGUGUGCUAACACAUGAUAGUCUGAAUGUUGAGUGUUGAAUAUCUGAUUAGUGGCGGACGGGUGAGUAACGCGUGGGAAACCUGCCCUAUACAGGGGGAUAGCCUCGGGAAACUGGGAUUAAUACCCCAUAAAACUCUAGUAUCGCAUGAUACAUGAGCCAAAGAUUUAUCGGUAUAGGAUGGUCCCGCGUCUGAUUAGCUAGUUGGUGAGGUAACGGCUCACCAAGGCGACGAUCAGUAGCCGGCCUGAGAGGGUGAACGGCCACACUGGAACUGAGACACGGUCCAGACUCCUACGGGAGGCAGCAGUGGGGAAUAUUGCACAAUGGGGGAAACCCUGAUGCAGCGACGCCGCGUGAGCGAAGAAGGCCUUCGGGUCGUAAAGCUCUGUCCUAAGGGAAGAAACGGACGGUACCUUAGGAGGAAGCCCCGGCUAACUACGUGCCAGCAGCCGCGGUAAUACGUAGGGGGCGAGCGUUAUCCGGAAUUACUGGGCGUAAAGGGUGCGUAGGCGGCCUUUUAAGUCAGAUGUGAAAGGCUACGGCUUACCGUAGUUAGCAUUUGAAACUAGAAGGCUUGAGUGCAGGAGAGGAGAGUGNAAUUCCUAGUGUAGCGGUGAAAUGCGUAGAUAUUAGGAGGAACACCAGUGGCGAAGGCGACUCUCUGGACUGCAACUGACGCUGAGGCACGAAAGCGUGGGGAGCAAACAGGAUUAGAUACCCUGUAGUCCACACUGUAAACGUUGAUUACUCGCUGUGUGCGAUAUACAGUACGCGGCUUAGCGAAAGCGAUAGUANCCACCU
rnacentral:rRNA from 1 species